rnacentral:tRNA from 1 species
GGCGGGUUAGCUCAGUUGGUUAGAGCAGAGGAAUCAUAAUCCUUUUGUCCGGGGUUCAAAUCCCUGACCCGCUACCA